rnacentral:misc_RNA from 1 species
UUUCCGUAGGUGAACCUGCGGAAGGAUCAUUAUCGUACAAAAUGUGGGGGUCAUUCGAGGGCUGUCGCUGACCCAAAACUCGUGCACGCCCGAGUCUGUCCUCUUGCCUAAUAAUCCAUCUCACCCUUUGUGCAGCACCGCGUGGGCACGCUUCGGGAUCAUCUCGGAGUCGUGCUCGCGUUUUGUCACAAUGCCCCCUUUUAAAAGUGUAUAAUGACCACAUUUAUGCAAUAAAUACAACUUUCAACAACGGAUCUCUUGGCUCUC